rnacentral:lncRNA from 1 species
GCCCCUAGUAUUUGGGUGCUAUGUUCCUGGGAUGAUCCUUUCUGUUGGGCCCCUCCUUUGUCCAAACCUAGUCCAUAGGGAGAUGUUGAUAUCUAAGGAUUAAUCAGAGUAUUGAGGAACCCCCAACCCCCACUGCCACCCUCUUCUCUUUUGACAGUUGGAGUCAUAGAGGAAGUCCAAAGAGGGAAAACAGUUUGUGGAGGAUGGCCCAGCUGGUGACCCUCAGAGCCAAGAUUCUUCUUCAUUUGGCCUGUUCCCAUCCAACUCCAUUAGAUUCACACACCAAGUAGCUUAGCUACAGGAGGCCUGGGAGACAGGAGUAUUCUUGGACUCUAUGAUAGUCUCCUCAUCAGUCUGCAGAACCUCCUCACCUGUCCAGUCUGCAAAAGUUAUUACAGUAAACCUAUAACCUUGUUUAGUGGCCGCACCAUAUGUCAGGCCUGUAUUCCCCUAGGAUGCCUACCUAUCCACAUCAAGACCGACUGGAGGAUACAGAAUAUAGCAAACCUGGUCAAGGUGUUGAAACCAAGCCUGGAAGAGCCCCAACCUGUCUCAGAGGAAUGGUGUCUCAGGCAUGAUGAACCCUUCACCCUCCUCUGUGAAGAAGACAAGCAGAGAAUCUGCCGGAUCUGCAAGUUCUCCAUCCUUCACAGGGGCCAUACCUUGACCCAACUACAAGACCCAGAAGCAUGUCUGGAGGUUUCUCCAAAGAAGAGGAGGACGUAAUCCUGCUUAGACCUGUGGGCCACCACUGAAUUCUCUUCCCCCAGCCUCUCAUAGAGAAGAAUACAGGAACCACCACCAUCGAUCCUGUGUUCAGUCCACCCCCAUCCAUCCCCUCUGCUGUCCUCCCUGGAAAACAAGGCUCAGUUUCCCAUUGACAUCAUCAUGAGGAAGACAGAAUCCAGGAUGGAAGAAAUCCCUCAACUGGAGCAUCUUCCCAGCCUACAUUCUGUCAUGCCUGCCACCUGCUGGCCUAUUUGGUGACUAACCUUGAAUAAAGUUUCUUCUCUGACCUAUUGGAUAUUGUUU